rnacentral:lncRNA from 1 species
CUUUUCAAUUGAUAUAUUUUUAUUCUAUAUUUUUUUUUUGCAUUCAAUUUAAUUUUGAUUCUGAUUAAUUAUAUUUCUAUAUAUAAUUUUUUAUUCUCAAUUUUUAUUUUUGAUGUUUAAUUAUAAGUGAAUUGUUUGCACAAGUUUAUAUUUACAUACUGUUUUUUUGUCUUUCAGAGUGGAGAUCUUUAUGGAAAAUU